rnacentral:lncRNA from 1 species
UUUUUUAAAAUUUUGAUUCAUAAAAAAUAUGUUUCUAACUUAAAAAAUAUGUAUUUUGUUUAUAACCAUAUUUUUCAUUACUUUUCCGAAAAAAAUAUUUUCUUAGAAAUAUUAAGGUUGCUCUCUACUGCAUCCCUUUUGUCAUGCUUUAGUAAUUCUCUAAAUAUAAUAUCAACCGAAUUUGUCCCACAAAAAGGGGUCCUAUAGCUCCUCUAAAUCCUAUUUAUAUAAAGAGGUCGAUUUUAAACUGGCCUAAGCAUAAACUUUAACAUGUAAACUGCAAAAGAUUGUAAGUUAUAAAACCAUGAUUUAGGGUUCAGAAUUAUUAAAAUUCCCAAGCACAUGUAUUGUCCAAAAGCUUAUUUAACUGCAUAU